ensembl:lncRNA
GAAAAAAAGAGAAAAAAAACAAAAGAAAAGUAACAAAAAGAGAAAAAAUGAAAAGAAAAAAAGAAAAAAUGAACAAAAAAGAGUAAAAAGAGAAAAAAAUGAAAAAAAGAGAAAAAAGAGAAAAGAAAAAAAGAACAUGAACAAAAAAGAGAAAAAAGUGAAAAGAUAAAAAAAGAAAAAAGAUAAAGAAAAGAGAAAAGAAAAAAAGAGAAAAUAGAAAUAAAAAAGAGGACAGAAAAAUAUGAAAAAAAGAAAAAAGAAAAAAAGGAAAGAAAAAAAUAAAAAAGAGAAAAAAUGAAAAGAAAAAA